rnacentral:snRNA from 1 species
AUACUUACCUGGACGGGGUCGACGACUGAUCAAGAAGAGUCGUGGCCUAGGGCUAGUGGUUCACAUUGCACUUGGUGGAUGUGCUGGCCUACCAUCUCCUGAAGUGGGAGAGUGGAUAUCGUAAUUUGUGGUAGAGGGGGUACGUGUCCGCGCGGCCCCUA